AUUGAACGCUGGCGGCAGGCCUAACACAUGCAAGUCGAACGGUAACAGGAAACAGCUUGCUGUUUCGCUGACGAGUGGCGGACGGGUGAGUAAUGUCUGGGAAACUGCCUGAUGGAGGGGGAUAACUACUGGAAACGGUAGCUAAUACCGCAUAACGUCGCAAGACCAAAGAGGGGGACCCUCGGGCCUCUUGCCAGCGGAUGUGCCCAGAUGGGAUUAGCUUGUUGGUGGGGUAACGGCUCACCAAGGCGACGAUCCCUAGCUGGUCUGAGAGGAUGACCAGCCACACUGGAACUGAGACACGGUCCAGACUCCUACGGGAGGCAGCAGUGGGGAAUAUUGCACAAUGGGCGCAAGCCUGAUGCAGCCAUGCCGCGUGUAUGAAGAAGGCCUUCGGGUUGUAAAGUACUUUCAGCGGGGAGGAAGGGAGUAAAGUUAAUACCUUUGCUCAUUGACGUUACCCGCAGAAGAAGCACCGGCUAACUCCGUG
rnacentral:rRNA from 1 species